GGGUUGUGAGGUUAAGCGACUAAGCGUACACGGUGGAUGCCCUGGCAGUCAGAGGCGAUGAAGGACGUGCUAAUCUGCGAUAAGCGUCGGUAAGGUGAUAUGAACCGUUAUAACCGGCGAUUUCCGAAUGGGGAAACCCAGUGUGUUUCGACACACUAUCAUUAACUGAAUCCAUAGGUUAAUGAGGCGAACCGGGGGAACUGAAACAUCUAAGUACCCCGAGGAAAAGAAAUCAACCGAGAUUCCCCCAGUAGCGGCGAGCGAACGGGGAGGAGCCCAGAGUCUGAAUCAGUGUGUGUGUUAGUGGAAGCGUCUGGAAAGGCGCGCGAUACAGGGUGACAGCCCCGUACACAAAAAUGCACAUACUGUGAGCUCGAUGAGUAGGGCGGGACACGUGGUAUCCUGUCUGAAUAUGGGGGGACCAUCCUCCAAGGCUAAAUACUCCUGACUGACCGAUAGUGAACCAGUACCGUGAGGGAAAGGCGAAAAGAACCCCGGCGAGGGGAGUGAAAAAGAACCUGAAACCGUGUACGUACAAGCAGUGGGAGC
rnacentral:rRNA from 1 species